rnacentral:rRNA from 1 species
UACGGAGGGGGCUAGCGUUGUUCGGAAUCAUUGGGCGUAAAGGGCGCGUAGGCGGCCGAUCAAGUCGGAGGUGAAAUCCCUCGGCUCAACUGAGGAAUUGCCUUCGAUACUGUUCGGCUUGAGUCCUGGAGAGGGUAGUGGAACUGCGAGUGUAGAGGUGAAAUUCGUAGAUAUUCGCAAGAACACCAGUGGCGAAGGCGGCUCACUGGCCCGGUACUGACGCUGAGGUGCGAAAGCGUGGGAGCAAACAGG